UACAGAGGGUGCAAGCGUUGUUCGGAAUUAUUGGCGUAAAGCGCGUGUAGGCGGCGUGGCAAGUCGGGUGUGAAAGCCCUCAGCUCAACUGAGGAAGUGCACCCGAAACUGGCAAGCUUGAGUACUAAAGAGGGUCGCGGAAUUCCCGGUGUAGCGGUGAAAUGCGCAGAUAUCGGGAAGAACACCUAUGGCGAAGGCAGCUCUCUGGGACGGUACUGACGCUGAGACGCGAAAGCGUGGGAGCGAACAGG
rnacentral:rRNA from 1 species